CGGCUCUCGGCCUCUGGCCUCCGCCCUCGGCUCCUCCAACUCAAAGUCUCGGCGUCAGUUUUCCUGCUCACUUCAUGUUCGGACAAUCGAUUUAUUUCCCUUAGCAGGAUAACAUCAGUUUCACAUCUAUGGGAGAAUCCAAAUAUGCUUAUUUGCUCAGUGAUGAUGGACUUUAUCGUGUUAAUAUCCCUGACUUUGAUCUAGCCCAACAACCCCAGUUCAUGCUCGAGUGUGUAGGUAAGGAAUUUGGUGGUAUCAUAACCUCAACUAUGGGAAUAUGCAGCCAAGGGCAGGAUGUAUAUUUGUUUGGGGGCUUGUUGUAUAAGUCUGUGAAUGGGUCACUUUAUAACAGGAGCAUGUAUUUUUUCAAUCCUCGGAAGGUCAAGGCUAAGGAAUAUCCCAUUAGGGAUACUAAGUUACUUUACAAAUCAAGUGUUAAAUACGAACCCAUGGUUCUUCCUUUUUUGUUACAAGCUAAGCAUAAGACUUACGUAUUCUCAGUUGUUCGUCCUAGUUACGGCGGUCCAAUGAAAUCACCUUGCUGUUUUCAGUCCUUCGAUCUAUACAAAAAAAGCUUUUGCACCCUUCCAACUCCCUCCCUAGAUGAUUCAUAUCUGUUUUAUGAUGUUUGUGGGUAUUUUCUUGUUUAUGAUCAUAUAUACUUGAUUAUCAGUGGAGGGGCCAAGGACAGGAACGAGCAUCGUGCCUUCUCUUUCAACACUAGAUCAUCAAAAUGGAAGGAAAUAGGGUCCAUGAUGAGCAAAUUUGAAAAACACAAUAUUCCCAUUCCCUAUUGUCAUAGUGGUGAUAUAGGACUCUCUCGUAAGUUUGACGAUAAUACUCAGAUUCUGGUUGCCCUUAAUUAUGGUACACCUACUGCUUAUCGGGUUAGGCUUGGUGCAGCAGGGAGUUCUCUCCGGCCUAAAUCCUAUAGGGGUUUACUUGAACAUAAGUAUGGGGUUAAUAACAUCUCACACCUACUUGAUAUUGGAAGUCAAAGGUUUUGUGUGAUUUUUUCUGGGUAUGACCAACAUAUUUUGGUUUAUGCCUUCAAGAUGGAUUUUGCAGUUGAAUAUGAAAACCAGAGAAAGUCAACCUCACAUGCAAUGCCCUCCAUAGAGAUUCUCUGUUCCAAGAAAUUUUUUCCCUCCGUAGUAAAUUGUGUUUGUUUGGCCUAUGGUCCUGCAUCUCAACGUUGUGUUCCCUGGGAUAAAGUCAGGCCCAUAAAUAAUAAUAAUUCUAAUAAUAGGGAGCCAGAAAGGAAGUCAGGUGUUGUGUUUCUCGAGGAACAUUACAUAUAGUCAGACCAAAACCCAACCCAAAUAUCUAACCAUAAACCCAACCCAUUAUAUUAUGUAUAUAUAAACUCUCCUGUCGAUAAUCUCUCCGUUUACUUCCUUCUCCGGCUUUCCGCGCUACUCCGCUCUCGACCUCCGGCCUCGGCUCCUCCGGUUCUCCGCAUUCGGCAUCUCCAACUCAAAGUCUCGGCGUCAGUUUUCCUGCUCACUUCAUGGUCGGACAAUCGAUUUAUUUCCCUUAGCAGGGGAUUGCACAACUUAUCCUAAAUCCCCCCCUUCUUAAGGUAAACUGUUCGAGGAAAGUAGAACGCCUAGCCACCAUUUCCAACCGGAUAACAUCAAUUUCACAUCUAUGGGAGAAUCUAGAUAUGCUUAUUUGCUCACUGAUGAUGGACUUUAUUGUGUUAAUAUCCCUGACUUUGAUCUAGCCCAACAACCCCAGUUCCUCGAGUAUGUAGCUAAGGAAUUUGGUGGUAUCUUAAUCGCAACUAUGGGAAUCUGUAGCCAAGGGCAGGAUGUAUAUUUGUUUGGGGGCUUGUUGUAUAAUUCCGUGAAUGGGUCAUGUUAUAACAGGAGCAUGUAUUUUUUCAAUCCUCGCAAGGUCAAGGAGAAGGAAUAUCCCAUUAAGGAUACUAAGUUACUUUACAAAUCAAGUGUUAAAUACGAACCCCUGGUUACUCCUUUUUUGUUACAAGCUGAGCAUAAGACUUACUUAUUCUCAAUUGUUCGUCGUAGUUACGGUGGUCCAAUGAAAUCACCCUGCUGUUUUCUGUCCUUCGAUGUACUCAAAAAAAGCUUUUGCACCCUUCCAAUUCCCUCCCUAGAUUAUUCGGAUCUGUGCUAUGAUGUGAGUGUGUAUUUUCUUGUUUAUGAUCAUAUAUACUUGAUUAUCAGUGGAGGGGCCAAGGACAGGGACAAGCAUCAUGCCUUCUCUUUCAACACUAGAUCAUCAAAAUGGAAGGAAAUAGGGUCCAUGAUGAGCAAAUUUGAAAAACACAAUAUUCCCAUUCCCUAUCGUCGUAGUGGCGAUAUAGGACUCUCUCGUAAGUUUGACGAUAAUACUCAGAUUCUGGUCGCCCUUAAUUGUGGUACACCUACUGCUUAUCGGGUUAGGCUUGGUGAAGCAGGGAGUUCUCUCUGGCCUAAAUCCUAUAGGGGUUUACUUGAACAUAAGUAUGGGGUUAAUAACAUCUCACACCUACUUGAUAUUGGAAGUCAAAGGUUUUGUGUGAUUUUUUCUGGGUAUGACUAACAUAUUUUGGUUUAUGCCUUCAAGAUGGAUUUUGCAGUUGAAUAUGAAAACCAGAGAAAGUCAACCUCACAUGCAAUGCCCUCCAUAGAGAUUCUCUGUUCCAAGAAAUUUUUUCCCUCAGUAGUAUAUUGUGUUUGUUUGGCCUAUGCUCCUGCAUCUCAACGUUGUGUUUCUUGGGAUAAAGUCAGGCCCAUAAAUAAUAAUAAUUCUAAUAAUAGGGAGCCAGAAAGGAAGUCAGGUGUUGUGUUUCUCGAGGUGUAGAGGCUUUGUAAGGAGAUGAUGAUUUAUCUUUUUUGCCAUAUUUUGUUUUCCAAGACCAAGCUAGUAGUAUAAAAAUUUUCUGACAAAUCAAACUAGCAAAUAAUGAUGUCUUUGGGAACAUCCAUCUACAAUUGGUAGUAUGUUUGGAAUUGUACUAACACUUUCGGGUCUUGCCUUUUAUUCUCUUUCUGC